GUCAUCUCAUUUCUAAAUUACCUCUUGUGACAUUUGCCACGAUGAAACUGCUGUGGGCCCCUCUGUUUUCUCUUUGAAAGCCUUUGCUGAGGGAUUUGCCAUGGUGUCUGAACUCCAGAGAAUGAAAGGUUCUGAGACUGAAGAAGGCCAGGAUCUUCACAGAGGAUGACCAGAGUCUGCGUGGAGAUUUGUUAAACAAAGAGACUUCGGGAUGGAUGAAUUCACUUCAGAGACACCAAAGGAACAGCACUUGAAGGAAACAUACCUCCACGCAGCCCUGAAAAUCCUUCCAACGCCGCCUGAGCCAAGGGUACCUGAGCAGCACAGCUCCAGCCAUCAUACUGAAAAGGCCCCAGCCAACUUACAAAGCACAUUUGUCUCAGUGCCUUCCUGCUUUUCAGCUCUCCUCCCCAGUCCCUGGUCCCAGCCACUUUCUUCUGGCCCCUGGCUCCCUGUGGCUCCCCCACUGCAGGGCCUCUCCCUUGUCCCUUCCCUCUCUCUUUCCCUCCCUCUAUGCCAACUAGCCUUCUAGAUCUGUGCUGUCCAAUAUGGUAGCCACAUGUGGCUAUUGGACUCUUGAAAUGUAGCUCCUCUGAAUGGAGAUUUGCCAUCAGAUUAAAAUACACACUGGAUUUUGAAGACUUAGCAUUAAAAAAAAAUGUAAAAUAUCUCACUAACAAUUCUUAUUUUGACUACUUGUUUAAAUGUACUUUUUAAUAUAUUGGGUUAAAUAUAUUAAAAUUAGGGGUGCCUGGGUGGCACAGUUGUUAAGCGUCUGCCUUCAGCUCAGGGCGUGAUCCCAGCGUUAUGGGAUCGAGCCCCA